ACAGAAGGAAGAGCAGGUUUCUCACGGGAUGUCAGCCCAGGGCUCCCACAUGUGGCCUCCCACCCUCAUCUUCUCACAUUCGCACACCUUCCGGAGUACAGAGGCGAGCGGGGUGCAGAUGGUCCUCCCCACAUCGGCCUCCUGCCCCCAACAGGAUUCCUCACAUCCCAGGACCAGCUGGAAAAGGCGGUGAGAGUUGGAAAGAGACUGCUCAGUGAGGACUGCCCUGUGAACCAGCUUGGAUUCAUCCCGUUCACCUCCACGUUCUGCACACGGGGCCGAGGUAAGGGAGGCAGCCCACGCAGCUAGAGAACUUGAUGAAACACACUCAAUCUGAAUCUCGCUUGAUCGUCAUGCUGACCCAGUGAGUCUACUCAGGGUCAGGCACCCUUUCCGACUACUCACUCAGCAGCGGAUCCCCACCCGCCUCUGACUCCCAGUGUCUUUCCGCUCCAACGUAAGUUCACCGAACGUCUAAGAGCUGAGGAUUCAAAGGCAUGUAAGACCGCCCGUGCCCUCAGCUGCAAGACCUGUCCGCGCUACUACGAGCCCCAUUCCGCCCUCUUUCCCCGACCUUGGUCCCCCAUGGGCCCUACAACCAGGUCCCCGACUGACACCUUGACCAGCGAACACAGCAAACAGGCCCGCAGAUGCCGCAGGUCCUUCGGCACCGUCUCCAGGGCCAUCUUCGCCGAUGGGAAGAGCAACAGGGAGGUAGACGACCACAGCCUGUGCAUCCGCAGGAAGUAAAUAGCUGGUUACCCAGAAUGCCCGCCACUUCUGGCGCUUAGACUUCCUCUUCCGGUGUGGGCGGGCGCCGGCUCCGCCCCUACCCCCGCCAGAGGAGAUGGUUUCUCCCACCGGCAAGCGGGGAGGCGGGGCGGCCGGCCUCCACCUGGGCCGGGGCGCGUCCCACCCACCUGAGCCCGCCGAGGGCGCGGCGGAGGCUGUGUAGGGUAGUCAGCGGGCCCCCAAGGCGGGGCGGGGGGGCGGCUGCGCCUGCGCGGGAGUGUGUCGGGCUGAGCCGCAGCGCCGAGACGCGGGCCGUUUGAUCUGGGCUGCUGGCCCUGGGAUCCGGUCCUGUUCCCCGAUGGUAACCCGAAGUUUGUUUUUUUUUUGUUUUGUCUUCCCGUUUUAGAAGCACUGGGGGCAGUGAAUCCACUGUCUCCCUCUGGAUUAUCUCUGCAGAGACCCAGAACAAAUCCAGGGACAGCCCCACCCCUCCUUCCUAACUGCGAGAGCGCUAUAGGGUUUCCAUUUGCUUCCCACAGGAAUGCUGGCCUGGGAGCUACGGCGGAAAAAAUGCGUAUUUAUCUUUUAAAACUCCGUCUGUUUGCUCGUUCCGGCUGAUAAUUUAUACUUUGCGCAGUUCUUAGCACUUAGACACGGUUCCUUUACUAAAGAACAUUUGUAGGCGAUUAGGUGUCCUUUUUUUCCCUUUCAUUUCACCGUCUAGGAAGCGAAACGCCUUGUUCUAUAGGCACCAAACCACCACCCCUACCAAACCUCUCUCGGGGAAGCAGGAGGGGAACUUGUGCCUUGUGAGGAAGCGACAAAGGCCCCUUCUGGCCCUGGAGACUUCAUGCCAAUGGAGCACCAGCUCUCUGUCCUCGCAAUAGCCCGAGUGCAGGCAGAACGCAGUCAUUUGUGUUUAUCUGAGAGGAGCUUUGGGAUAUAAAUAGUUUCAGGCCCCGCUGCUCUAUCAUUCCAGCCCAGCCUCCUGACUGAGCUGCUUCCGGGCGGGCUUGCUUCUUGUUGCCGGUCCCAUGCUGUGUUCAGACGGACUCUGUGACACGUUUGGAUGUUUUCUAUCACUGAAUAAAACUUUCCACUUUGGAACAUAUUUUCUGCACUAUUAUCUCAGGUAAGUCCUGCAAGUAGGCCCAUUUUAUGGACCGAAAAAGCGAGGCACAGAGUAUUUGCCCAAGGUCUAAGUCACUGAAGUAUGAUAAUGUGUGAAGUGAACAGUAUAAUAACAUGACUGAAGCACAGUAAGAAUCCAGUCAUGCUUUCUCCUUCCCUGAUCUCACUAAGGCACACUUUUAGGGGCUUACAAACCAGUUCUUAUUGCCAAGCCCUCUACCCUAUCCUUUCAUAAAUCGGAGCCUAGCCUCUGAUAACAGAAAUAAUUUAUUUCUCUUGAUGUAGAAAGAGAUGAAGUUGUUACCCUGAGUGACAGUCACGACAGAACAAAACCACAAGACCAGACCACAUUUGUGGAUAAAUAUAUUAGCAAAUAAAUAUAUUUCUUAACAUAGUGCCUGA